AGGGGUGGUAGGGUAGACUAGUGGUUAGAGUGGAGGGGCGGCAGGGUAGCCUAGUGGUUAGAGUGGAGGGGAGGCAGGGUAGCCUAGUGGUUAGAGUGGAGGGGUGGCAGGGUAGACUAGUGGUUAGAGUGGAGGGGUGGCAGGGUAGACUAGUGGUUAGAGUGGAGGGGUGGCAGGGUAGACUAGUGGUUAGAGUGGAGGGGUGGUAGGGUAGACUAGUGGUUAGAGUGGAGGGGUGGCAGGGUAGACUAGUGGUUAGAGUGGAGGGGUGGUAGGGCAGACUAGUGGUUAGAGUAGAGGGGCAGGGUAGCCUAGUGGUUAGAGUGGAGGGGUGGCAGGGUAGCCUAGUGGUUAGAGUGGAGGGGUGGCAGGGUAGCCUAGUGGUUAGAGUGGAGGGGUGGCAGGGUAGACUAGUGGUUAGAGUGGAGGGGUGGCAGGGUAGCCUAGUGGUUAGAGUGGAGGGGUGGCAGGGUAGCCUAGUGGUUAGAGUGGAGGGGUGGCAGGGUAGCCUAGUGGUUAGAGUGGAGGGGUGGCAGGGUAGCCUAGUGGUUAGAGUGGAGGGGUGGCAGGGUAGCCUAGUGGUUAGAGUGGAGGGGUGGCAGGGUAGACUAGUGGUUAGAGUGGAGGGGUGGCAGGGUAGCCUAGUGGUUAGAGUGGAGGGGUGGCAGGGUAGACUAGUGGUUAGAGUGGAGGGGUGGUAGGGUAGACUAGUGGUUAGAGUGGAGGGGCGGCAGGGUAGCCUAGUGGUUAGAGUGGAGGGGCGGUAGGGUAGCCUAGUGGUUAGAGUGGAGGGGUGGCAGGGUAGACUAGUGGUUAGAGUGGAGGGGUGGCAGGGUAGACUAGUGGUUAGAGUGGAGGGGUGGCAGGGUAGACUAGUGGUUAGAGUGGAGGGGUGGCAGGAUAGACUAGUGGUUAGAGUGGAGGGGUGGCAGGGUAGCCUAGUGGUUAGAGUGGAGGGGUGGCAGGGUAGCCUAGUGGUUAGAGUGGAGGGGCGGCAGGGUAGCCUAGUGGUUAGAGUGGAGGGGUGGCAGGGUAGCCUAGUGGUUAGAGUGGAGGGGUGGCAGGGUAGCCUAGUGGUUAGAGUGGAGGGGUGGCAGGGUAGCCUAGUGGUUAGAGUGGAGGGGUGGCAGGGUAGCCUAGUGGUUAGAGUGGAGGGGCGGCAGGGUAGCCUAGUGGUUAGAGUGGAGGGGUGGCAGGGUAGCCUAGUGGUUAGAGUGGAGGGGCGGCAGGGUAGCCUAGUGGUUAGAGUGGAGGGGCGGCAGGGUAGCCUAGUGGUUAGAGUGGAGGGGCGGCAGGGUAGCCUAGUGGUUAGAGUGGAGGGGCGGCAGGGCAGCCUAGUGGUUAGAGUGGAGGGGCGGCAGGGUAGCCUAGUGGUUAGAGUGGAGGGGCGGCAGGGUAGCCUAGUGGUUAGAGUGGAGGGGUGGCAGGGUAGCCUAGUGGUUAGAGUGUAGAGGUGGCAGGGUAGCCUAGUGGUUAGAGUGUAGAGGCAGCAGGUAGUCUAGUGGUUAGAGUGUAGAGGCGGCAGGUAGCCUAGCGGUUAGAGUGUAGAGGCGGCAGGUAGUCUAGUGGUUAGAGCGUUGGACUAGUAAACGAAAGGUUGCAAGAUUGAAUCCCCGAGCUGACAAGGUAAAAAAUCUGUCGUUUUGCCCCUGAACAAGGAAGUUAACCCACUGUUCCUAGGCCG
ensembl:lncRNA